CAGUAGCCGCGGGAAUACGUAGGGCGCAUGCGUUGUCCGGAAUUAUUGGGCGUAAAGAGCUCGUAGGCGGCUUGUCACGUCUGCUGUGAAAUCCCGGGGCUCAACCCAGGGCGUGCAGUGGAUACGGGCUGGCUAGAGGCAGGCAGGGGAGAACGGAAUUCCCGGUGUAGCGGUGAAAUGCGCAGAUAUCGGGAGGAACACCGGUGGCGAAGGCGGCCAUCUGGGACAACACUGACGCUGAGGCACGAAAGCGUGGGGAGCAAACAGGAUUAGAGACCCCGGUAGUCCCUGUCUCUUAUAC
rnacentral:rRNA from 1 species